rnacentral:rRNA from 1 species
AGUGAACGCUGGCGGCGUGCCUAAUACAUGCAAGUCGAACGGAGUGGCGCACGGGUGAGUAAUAUAUAGCUAAUCUGCCCCUUGCUGGAGGACAACAGUUCGAAAUGACUGCUAAUACUCCAUAGGAAGGGAUGAGACUAUAUCGUAUCAGCUAGUCGGUGGGGUAACGGCCUACCUAGGUAAUGACGCGUAACUGGUCUGAGAGGAUGAUCAGUCGAAUUGGAACUGAGGCACAGGCCGAACUCCUACGGGAAGCAGCAGUAGGGAAUAUUGCGCAAGGGGGGAAACCCUAAAAGAGCAACGCCGCGUGGAGGAUGACACUUUUCGGAGCGUAAACUCCUUUUGUUAGGGAAGCGGUACCUAACGAAUAAGCACCGGCUAACUCCGUGCCAGCAGCCGCGGUAAUAC